rnacentral:lncRNA from 1 species
CACAUAAGUCAGUUCUCUCUCAACUCUCAUCAUCUUCUCUCUAUUAACUCUCUCUUUCCUAGUUCACCCCACCAUAAACCACCACAACCAACCCUAUCACCACCACAACCCACCUGCCACCACCAUCACCUACCCUCACCUGCCAUCACCAUCUUCCCCACUACUACCCACUUGCCGAUGCCACCACCCUGCUACAGCCCCGCCACAACCCGUGACCACCGCUGCAGCCCCGUCGGUCUUGUCCGGGUGCGGCGACGCUUACAAUUACUGUUGUAGAUCGGGGAUAUUUAGGCUCGAUUCUAAGUUUUAUCCCCAAUUUCAUCUUUUUAUCCCUAGUUUCAUCUUUGUCUUCUCCGUUUCCAGCAAUGAUUUUUCUCUCUCUACACUUGUGUUUCUCUCUCUACAAACGGGUUUCGCAUAAGAUCUUUCAAGUUGAAGAAGAUAGUAAAAAAAUCAAGAAUACAUUGUUGUUCUCUUUGAUGUUGUUGUUGUAGUUUGAUGUUGUUGUAAGGUAUUAUGAGUGAAAUUGAAAGAAAGGAUUUGUUUUGAAAAUAUGGAUUUGUCUUUUGAUGUUUCGAAUUGUUUAUUUUUUCUAUGUUUUGAAGAUUUGGGUUACGGAUGAUAAUGUGCAGAUUAUUAAUGCUAAUCUGGGAUGAUAAAGAAAUGAAGAAUAUAUUGUUGUUUUGUUUGAUGUUGUUGUUGUAGUUUGAUGUUGUUGUAAGGUAUUAUGAGUGAAACUGAAAGAAAGGAUUUGUCCUUGAAAAUGUGGAUUUGUCUUUUGAAGUUUAGAAUUAUUAAUGUGCAGAUUAUUGAUGAUAAUCUGGGUUUUGAAGAUCUGGGUUAUUGA